CUUUUCCUUUCCUUUUUUUUCCGGUUAUGAUAAAGUCUCCAUAUAAAGCUGGCAAAUAAGAAACAUAUGCAUAAUCAACCAAACAAUCUUUAAAUAUGUAUGUUGGAACUAGGAACUAAAUACUGAAGAUGAUGAUAACGCAGCUGUGGCUCACAGUGGGGAGGAUGUAGAAAAUACCAGCCCCAGUAAGCCUCCAGAAUCCUCCGGAAAGAACAAAAGAGGGUAAAAUUUUGUUUUUAUAUAUAUAUAUAUGUUUUAUAAAACCUGAAAGAAGAAUUUCUCUGACACCUUUUCUCUUUUUUUAUUUUAUAUUGUAGGUUUCUAUGACAGUGAGUCCUGUAGGCAGUAGCAUCCUUUUAGACAACAGACAGAGUGAAACUGUUUAUUUUAGAAAGGUUUAGAAAUCUCCUUGAGGAACAGUAAUGUAAUUACAUUUUUCCUGUCUGGAAAAAGGUAUAGUUAUACGACCACCUUUCAGCUACUGGGAUUAGAGGAAGGAACAGAAGUUGUCAACAAGGAGCACGUGCUGAAGAAAGGAGCCUACUUGUCAGUUCUUUACCUGCGUCACUUGAGAAUCCGAGAGCUACAGCGAGUCUGCCUGGGGUUCCUGAACUACUUCAGAUCCGUGGAGAGAACCCUGACCAUCAGUACUGCUGGCCUGUCCUUUAAAGCGGGUAAUUUAAUUCCCAGCGCAGAAGAUACCUGCUGGGUCAGUGCUGCCAAAGGAGGCAUUGGUGUUUCUGGUGGCCUCAGUUCUCAGCCUUAUAUUCAUUACACACCAGCUGACUACAAGGUCCAUAGUGCUCAGUUCAUGGAGUUUGCGGAGGUGGAAAACCACGAUGACUUUUAUACCAGUGAAGGCGGAUAUAUUCACACGCAGGAUCCACGAGGGCUUUAUAUAAUAUAUGAUGUGGCUUUAAAGGACCUGAAGGAGCUUGAGCACCAGCUGCUUCUUGUGACCAGCCAGUAUAUUGAGAAAGAUAAAAGUAAGUUAUCUACAGAUAGAUUUCUCAU
rnacentral:lncRNA from 1 species